AAAAUAGAGAGAAAAUACUUUACAAAGCCAAAUAUUAACCAUCAAAAACAUUUCCAAUUUCUCUAUCCCGUGAACUCUGGGCUAUUCUCCACAUUCUAAAAGAGAAGAAAUGCUUGAGGCUGGGGAUUUAGCUCAGUGAUACAGCACCUUUCUGACAUGCACGAGGUGGUGAGUUCAAUUCCCGGUACCGAAAAAAAAAAAAAAAGAAAUGCUUAUUCCAACUUCACCAUAUCAAUAAUGAUAAUGAAGGUUUUCAUCAUGUUUCUACAAAACAACAAAAUUUUUAAACUGAUGAACAACUGUGAGCAAAAUCUUUCACAGACUCAGAUGUUAACAAAACAAAGUUUGAUAUAAAUGUUUAUCUGUGUAAACAUAUUUUCAUUUUUAUAUAUAUAUAAACAUAGAUAAAUCACAAAACUGCCCAUGUGAAAUAGGAACACAAAGUAACCCUACACUCUGUUCCCUCCAGACACUGCCACCCUUCACUGCUGGGAACAUUGUCGGCUUUCUUCAAUUACAAACUGCAGAAUCUUCUCCUUCAUCAACUUCCAUUAUUGUGGGAAGAACUGUAACCCCUGGAAAGGAACAUACCCGGGCUACGCCCUGAGUGCUUUCACAGUGUGUAACUAAGGCCUCUGCACUCUCUUUUUCAUCUCUCAAAGCCUCUUCAUACCUGGACUCGAAGGCACUGGGCUCGGUAUCAUUGAUCUUGGCCCAAAACUCCAGGACUUUCAUCUUGCUGGUCUCAGCAUAGGCUCUUGGGCCCCACAGGAAUUCAUACUGAGGAGGAUUGCUAUCAGGAACCUGGCGGUACUCCAGGUAUUUCAGCUUCACCAGAUCUUUUGUGAUGAGCUUCCUGGGCUCUCCGAAAAGGAAGUGUUUCUUUCCAUCAUAAAUUUUCAUCCUAUUCAGGAAUUCCCAGAUCUUCUCCUCAGAAGCAGAGCUGCCCUUCAUGAAGAUCACUCCUAGAAUGUUCAUCAGGAGACCCGUCUUCGGAUAUCCCUUGCCACGAGUCAGCACCCCAUUAUAGGGGAGAUUCAUUUUGCUGACAAGGGCAUAAGAGUGUUUGGGGGUAUCAACUUCCUUUAAUUCCAUGCCAAAUACCACUUCUAUGUUGAAAGAAGCUCUUCCCAGGAGUUCUGGGAAGCGUUUCUUAUACUUUUUAUCGAUAAUCUUCAACAUAGACUUUUUCAUAAUAGGUUUUUGCAUUACGGACAUUUCAAUCAUGUGAUUCACCAAAUUGCUGACCAUCUUGCUGAGAGGCAUUUUCUUUUUCUUAGUUUUGCGUUCUGCUUCUUUUUCUGAUCUUGGGCUCGACAUAUCUGCCUUGGUUAGUGCAUCUUUGGGAGACUGCUCCGUGGAGAGUUGAAGCUGAGGAGAGCAGUGCUUUUUCUUACUUUUGCAUUUGGUUCCUUCAUUUGAUCUCAGGUUUGGCAUAUCUUCCUCGGUUAGUGCAUCUUCGGGAGACUGCUCGGUGGAGAGCUGAGGCUGAGGAGAGCAGUGCUUUCUCUUACUUUUGCAUUUGGUUCCUUCAUUCGAUCUCGGGUUUGGCAUAUCUGUUGCUUUAGUGGCAGAAACUUCUCUCUGCGAUCUCUCUGGAGGGCUUUGUGACUGAGAAGCAGAAUCUGCGUGAGUGGUAACCUCCAAAGGAGUAGAUGAGGAGCGUAAUAUUCUCUUCUCGGUAGUAGUAGCCUGUGCUUCCUGAAUUACCUGGGUCUCCCCUUUGACAGGGUGGAUUUUCUUAGGAGCAGCAGGCUUUCUCUUUUGCUUCCGAGGCAUGAUGAAUGGGCAGGAGAGCUGGUGAUCCAGGCACCUGGGGGAGAAAGAAAGACAGCAUAAGCAUCACUGGCUCAGAGAUAUCUCUGGCUUAUG
ensembl:lincRNA